rnacentral:rRNA from 1 species
GGGUGCUUGCACCUUAGCUUAGCGGCGGACGGGUGAGUAAUGCUUAGGAAUCUGCCUAUUAGUGGGGGACAACAUUCCGAAAGGAAUGCUAAUACCGCAUACGCCCUACGGGGGAAAGCAGGGGAUCUUCGGACCUUGCGCUAAUAGAUGAGCCUAAGUCGGAUUAGCUAGUUGGUGGGGUAAAGGCCUACCAAGGCGACGAUCUGUAGCGGGUCUGAGAGGAUGAUCCGCCACACUGGGACUGAGACACGGCCCAGACUCCUACGGGAGGCAGCAGUGGGGAAUAUUGGACAAUGGGCGGAAGCCUGAUCCAGCCAUGCCGCGUGUGUGAAGAAGGCCUUUUGGUUGUAAAGCACUUUAAGCGAGGAGGAGGAACUCUAGAUUAAUACUCUAGAUGUUUGGACGUUACUCGCAGAAUAAGCACCGGCUAACUCUGUGCCAGCAGCCGCGGUAAUACAGAGGGUGCGAGCGUUAAUCGGAUUUACUGGGCGUAAAGCGUGCGUAGGCGGCUUUUUAAGUCGGAUGUGAAAUCCCCGAGCUUAACUUGGGAAUUGCAUUCGAUACUGGGAAGCUAGAGUAUGGG